rnacentral:lncRNA from 1 species
AGGAGUCUAUAGUGCUCUACCCCUCUUCCCAAAACACAUUUUUCUGAAAGCUAUAAUGACUAUAAUGUUAUAUUAAAAUGUUAAUGUUGAAACAUAUUAGAUGCCCUAGCCUCCCUGUUUCAGCUGCAAUUACACCCAUUAAAAAUGCAAGUAUAUUAAAGAAGCUUUCUUAAGAAGUUUUUACUUGAGUCUCUGCCACAGAUCAUCUUCAUACUAGACUACAUACGUCUGCUAUGUUCUUGCAGGAGUGUGACAUUACGUCUGCAGGUGUGAUGAAUAAAAGCAUAUAAACCAAUAGGAUGUCGGAAUGGUAUGUUUUUACUUGUCAUUCAACCACAAUCAAAUUCACUAUAUCUGGAUGGAGAGAUUUGUCUGCAUAAGGUUUUUUGAAUGACGAGAAGACGGAAUAAAAACAAGCUGAAAUGAAACAGAAGUAGUGAGGCUAUUUUUAAAAUGCAAGGAGCAGAAAGUUCAGAUAACUGUGUGCAAAUGUAAGGAGUAGAAGGAACUAUUUGUUACAGUGAAGUAACAAUAACCAAAAUUAGUUUUUACCAUAAUGUUAAUUAUACCACAGUUAGUUCCGACCCUGCAAUGUGAUUUUAUGUGUGACAGUAUCAGCAGAUAAUGCACUGUAACCGAAGCUCUCCAUUUUUUACUGUGUUACUAGUUAUGUGUACACUGUCCCUUUAAGCUAAUAAGGUAGAGAUGCAGAUGGUUGUUGUGCUGUACCACUAGACCCACUGGAACCAUGCUCCUUUAUUUUACUUAUUUUAUAUUCAUAGUAAUGCCUUAUAUGUGCUUUUGGUGUCUACUUAGUUCCUGUUUGGGUGCCAGUUGGAACGCUCCAGCCCGGAUGGCAAGUCUUUGGGCAGGUGAAACACGAAGCACACUGGAGCAGCCACAUGAAAGAGUCUGCAGGCCGCUGAAAGGACAUAAGAGAGCAAAUGUGUCCACUUUGAUCAGCGGACAUCUGUCUCUCCUCUCAACGUGUGAUCACUCUUCCAUCUACAUUGUCUCUGGCCCUCUUCAGACCCUUCCAUCUGGACUUCAGAGGAGCUUUGUGUGAAUCAGAGGGCCGGCUCUCGUGUCGGUGCUGUUGUGAAGUCUCUGCGUUUGAGGUUGCUUGCUCGGUUGAGUUCACAAGACGGUGGAGCACUUUUCAUUUUGGAACACCUGGUGCUGGUAAUCAGCGUAAAACACAAAAAGUACAUCAUAACUAUGUGUUCUUUUGUUCUUGAUAGCCAGCUUCUGUUGUUAAACUGAGCUCAGUCCUCAUUUAAUGAUGUGUGCAGCUUUAUUUCCCCCACACAAGCCAACGUUUCCAGCUGAUGUCACACCACAGAUGACGUGCUGGAAGUCCUGCUGGCUAAGCUUGCCCUUAAGAGGACGAAGAGAGAAAGAGAUAGCG